rnacentral:rRNA from 1 species
CCUACGGGGGGCAGCAGUGGGGGAUAUUGCACAAUGGGGGAAACCCUGAUGCAGCGACGCCGCGUGUGGGAAGACGGUUCUCUGGAUUGUAAACCACUGUCCCCAGGGACGAAGUUGACGGUACUUGCGGAGGAAGCCCCGGCAAACUACGUGCCACCAGCCGCGGUAAUACGUAGGGAGCAAGCGUUGUCCGGAAUUACGGGGUGUAAAGGGAGCGUAGACGGUCAUGCAAGCCAGGGGGGAAAGCCCGGGGCCCAACCCCGGGACUGCCCUUGAAACUGCUUGGCUGGAGUGCGGGAGGGGCAGGCGGAAUUCCUGGUGUAGCGGUGAAAUGCGUAGAUAUCAGGAGGAACACCGGCGGCGAAGGCGGCCUGCUGGACCGCAACUGACGUUGAGGCUCGAAAGCGUGGGGAGCGAACAGGAUUAGAUACCCGAGUAGUC